CGCCUCUUGCUUAAACAUAAGAGGUCCAGCCUGCCCAGUGACAAAGUUUAACGGCCGCGGUACUCUGACCGUGCGAAGGUAGCAUAAUCACUUGUUCUUUAAAUGGGGACUUGUAUCAACGGCAUCACGAGGGCCAUACUGUCUCCUUUUUCCAAUCAGUGAAACUGAUCUUCCCGUGAAGAAGCGGGAAUUAACCUAUAAGACGAGAAGACCCCAUGGAGCUUUAAACCCAACAACAAGUCUAAAUAAACACACCCUAAAAAUUAAUGACACCUGAACUGUUGGUUUUAGGUUGGGGUGACCGCGGAGUAUAAACUAACCUCCACGACGAACGGGACUAAACCCUUAUCUACGAGCCACCGCUCUAAGAAUCAGCACACUGACUUCUAAUGAUCCGAUAUUCGAUCAACGAACCAAGUUACCCUGGGGAUAACAGCGCUAUCCAUUUCAAGAGCUCCUAUCGACAAAUGGGUUUACGACCUCGAUGUUGGAUCAGGGUAUCCUAGUGGUGCAGCCGCUACUAAAGGUUUGUUUGUUCAACAAUUAAAACCC
rnacentral:rRNA from 1 species